rnacentral:rRNA from 1 species
AAUGAACGCUGGCGGCGUGCUUAACACAUGCAAGUCGAACGGUAACAGGAGAGAGCUUGCUCUCUUGCUGACGAGUGGCGCACGGGUGAGUAAUAUAUAGAUAAUGUGCCUCUUAGUCUGGGAUAGCCAUUGGAAACGAUGAUUAAUACCGGAUACUCCUUCUUAUCAAAAGAUAAGUUGGGAAAGUUUUUCGCUAAGAGAUCGGUCUAUAUCCCAUCAGUUAGUUGGUAGUGUAAGAGACUACCAAGACGAUGACGGGUAGCGGGUUUGAGAGGAUGAUCCGCCACACUGGUACUGAGACACGGACCAGACUCCUACGGGAGGCAGCAGUGAGGAAUAUUGCACAAUGGGGGAAACCCUGAUGCAGCAACGCCGCGUGGAGGAUGACGCAUUUCGGUGUGUAAACUCCUUUUAUAUGUCAAGAAAAUGACGGUAGCAUAUGAAUAAGCACCGGCUAACUCCGUGCCAGCAGCCGCGGUAAUACGGAGGGUGCAAGCGUUAUUCGGAAUCACUGGGCGUAAAGGACGCGUAGGCGGGUUGGCAAGUCAGAUGUGAAAUCCUACAGCUUAACUGUAGAACUGCAUUUGAAACUGCCGACCUAGAGUAUGGGAGGGGGAGAUGGAAUUAGUGGUGUAGGGGUAAAAUCCGUAGAUAUCACUAGGAAUACCGAAAGCGAAGGCGAUCUCCUGGAACAUAACUGACGCUAAGGCGUGAAAGCGUGGGGAGCAAACAGGAUUAGAUACCCUGGUAGUCCACGCCCUAAACGAUGUUCACUAGUCGUCGCUCUGCUAGUCAGGGCGGUGAUGCACUUAACAGAUUAAGUGAACCGCCUGGGGAGUACGGUCGCAAGAUUAAAACUCAAAGGAAUAGACGGGGACCCGCACAAGUGGUGGAGCAUGUGGUUUAAUUCGAAGAUACGCGAAGAACCUUACCUAGCCUUGACAUUGAGAGAACCUGCCAGAGAUGGCGGGGUGCCCUUCSGGGAGYUCGAAAACAGGUGCUGCACGGUUGUCGUCAGCUCGUGUCGUGAGAUGUUGGGUUAAGUCCCGCAACGAGCGCAACCCUUGCCCUGUGUUACCAGCGGGUUAUGCCGGGUACUCACAGGGGACUGCCGGCGAUAAGCCGGAGGAAGGAGGGGAUGACGUCAGGUCAGUACGCCCUUUAUGCCCUGGGCUACACAGGCGCUACAGUGGCAGGGACAAUGGGUCGCGAAGCCGCAAGGCGGAGCUAAUCCCAAAAACCCUGUCGUGGUGCGGAUUGGGGGUUGCAACUCACCCCCAUGAAGGCGGAAUCGGUAGUAAUGGCGGAUCAGCAAUGCCGCCGUGAAUACGUUCCCGGGUCUUGUACACACCGCCCGUCACGCCACGGGAGUUGGGUCCAUCGGAAGUCCCCGAGCUAACCAGUCCUUCGGGACUGGAGGCAGGGGCCGAUGAUGGUCCGGCGACUGGGGCG